AGCAACAAAUGCCCUGCUUCCAGGAAAAGCCUCUAAGCAUCAGGUAACAUCAAAUCGUACCCCAAACCGACACAGGUGGUCAGGUAGAGAAUACCAAGGCGCUUGAGAGAACUCGGGUGAAGGAACUAGGCAAAAUGGUGCCGUAACUUCGGGAGAAGGCACGCUGACACGUAGGUGAAGUGAUUUACUCAUGGAGCUGAAGUCAGUCGAAGAUACCAGCUGGCUGCAACUGUUUAUUAAAAACACAGCACUGUGCAAACACGAAAGUGGACGUAUACGGUGUGACGCCUGCCCGGUGCCGGAAGGUUA
rnacentral:rRNA from 2 species